rnacentral:tRNA from 1 species
GAGGUUUUAGCUUAGUGGUAGAGUGUGUGCUUAGCAUGCACGAGGUCCUGGGUUCAAUCCCCAGUACCCCCA